GGGGAUGGCGGGAACUGUCUCCUGGCAGGGGAGAGCAGGGGGCCAGGCCAAGGUUGGUGACCCCAGCUGGGCUCCCCAUCACAGCCCCUCCUUCACUGACCCCCGAGAGCCAUGAUGGGAACAGUGCCCCCAGGGAUACCCAGCAGGGGACCAGAGAACAAACCUCUUGGCCCAACGGAGGCUGCAUCAGCUAAGAAGGGUGCCAGAGCCCCACAGGAUGCCCGGCCGCACUGGGGGCUCUGGGGCCUCCCCUGCCUAGAGUGAGGCUGUCGAGCUCCUGACCCAGCAUUGCCCUGCCUCCACCCCAGGGGCAGCAAAGGAAGGAAGCCGGGCUUCAAGGGCUCGGAUCAGGGCUCGGGACACACGGACCUCAACACUAACUUGUCUAUGGCCUGGGCAGAAGGUGGCCACUGGCCGAGGCUCAGACAUCAGCAUUAAGAGGUAACUUGGUGCAUGUUGGUAGAAAGCCUCUGAGCCCAAGCGACAGGGAACAGACAGGUUUCCCUUUCUGCUUCCAAGUUCCCUUCUAGGCCCUGGGCCAGCAGCCAGCCCAGACUAAAGCCCAUUCCAGGGGGGACCCGGGAGGCCAGGCCUGCUUGGCAACUGCUUGGAAGUGAAGUUCUGUGACUUGCAGACCCAUCCCUGUAUGGACCCAGGGGACAAAGCCCGGUUCCCACUCUGGGCAGCCAGCACUAGCUGCAGAAACAGCCUCCACCUCAGGGGACGCACACCCCAGCCUUCACUAGCCUCAGCGGCACAAAGCCAGCGAGGAACUCCACCUGCUCAGAGUUCCCCAACUGCCUGGUCUCUCCACCACCAAGGGAGCACAGGGCGGGCGUGUUUGAAAAUGAGGUCUCUGGCUACCCAAUCCCUACACCCUCCAUCCCUGAUCCCUAUGAAGGUCCCACACUGGGCGCCACUGAGCCCCAAGUCCAGCGGAGGAAGGACAGCAUCCAGAUAAGGGCUGCCAGGGUGCCGCUCGUGUGGGAUGACCACGCUUCCUGGUUUCCCAGGACAAAGAGGCUCCUGGGACACUGGACUUCCAGCUUUAAGAUCAGGUCAGGCCUGGGCAAACCAGGAAAAGCUGGUCACCUUACCAUCAGGGCUGCCCUGUGGAGGGACAGCAGAGGGAUACCAGGGAAGGUGGAGGGAGGCGAGGACUGUUCUGCUCGUGGAGAGCUCCUCGAACUAAGCGGCCCUCACUGGGACUUCCUCUGGGCAAAGCUGUCACUGAGGUUGUCUGGGCUCAGGAAGGGGGAGGGGUAGCCUGCCUCUAGGAGCCCCUGCUUCAGGAGGAACCGAGCGGGAAUGCCCACUGCUCCUCGCCUGAGAGGUCCAGAGAGCCGCUGCUAUUUCAAAACCUUUGUGGGUGCCGCCGCCGACGGUCAGCCUGGAGGGAGAAGGGCUCUGGGGAGGGAAGCAGAAGCUCCCAGGUCUCCGCACUCAGUGCCAGAAUCCCACAGCUCAGUCAGAAGCUGCCUGGGGAGCCCUGGGGGAGCCCUGGGGGAGCCCUGAGCUCCCCACCGCUCGAGGCCAGCCCAGGAGCUCUCUCCUGCUUGCUGUCCCAAGCAGGGACCUAGAUAAGGUGGAACCCGAGCCUUCUCUCCUACCGGUUUAAAAGAAGCCCUUUUAAGGAGUUAAUUUCCGACUUGAGUUCGUUGAUAUUCUGGGACUCCAGGAUCCAGUUGGUGGAUGUGGUGGCCUGAAAGUCAAAACACAGGAGAUGCAGGUCAGAGUGGCACCCCCACGCCACCCGAGUGGGCAAGGUGUGGCUUAGGAGCACCCUGAAGGCAACAGCAGCUGGCACAUUUUAUCUGGCCACAGCCUGGCGAUCCUGCGUGAAGGGCCUGGCACUGCCAGAGGCGACUCCCUUCAAACCCACACUCCCUGAGCUCUGGGUGUCUAAGGGCACAGGACCUGCAGCACCGAGGUACUGUGGGUUUGUAAAGUGACGUGAUGCGUGAGCUCUCAUCUUUCAGGGAGACUCACUGUGGUAUCUGAAAGGAGGGGUGACACCUGGAGGACGGGCAGGGUCUGCUGGAGUGAGCAAUGCCCUCCCUUCUGUGUUUGAAAUGCUCAUUAAAACAAAAGAACAAUAAAAACUAAACCCCACUCCUUCCAAAAGAAAUGCCCCCUCAGCAAGGGGCUGAGCCGGGGUGGCCUCAAAACUGGUGUUCCUGAGCCUGGAAGCCACACUGGGCAUCAGAGAGGCUGGGGCACCUCAACCCCUGCGGGCCACUCCUGCAGCCUGGAGGACAGGCUUCACCACAUGCUGGGCUGCUUGGGGCUGCUGGGGACCUCCUGCUCCUGCUAGGUGAGGUCUGGUCUCUAGAGGGUCCUGGGGGCCAGAGGACAUCCCAGGACUGCUCCUCCCUGUCUGCAAAGCCACCUGCAGGUCAUGCUACCCAAUCACAUCCCUUCUUUGGGAUGACUCUGGUUGCAGAGCAGAAAAGAGAACAGCCCUGGGCUCUGAGCUGCCCUUUCCCCAGAGGGCCAGGACAGAACCUCCUUCACACAGGGCUGCUGCACAUGGCUUUUGGCAAAUCCUGUCAGGACAGAUGGACAAGAGGGGAGCCAAUCCCACCACCCCGCAUGGGAACUUCGGGUGGCCAAGCCGCCGGGGUGAGUGUGGUGGGUAUAUAGUGGUCCACCCCGGCCAGGAGGCCUCAGCUCAAGUGCCUGCCUCCCUGAGCUGGAGGCUGCCUCCAGAUGGGGUGAGCCUGGCUCUUUCCCCAAUGCACAGUGGCGACUGCAGGCCCACCAGCUGAGGCCGCCCAGGGGAAGGAAACCUGCAGUCCGGGAGAAUGCGGGCCCAUGUCUGCCACCCUCACACACAACCCUGCAGGGUCCCCACUCCAGAUCAGCAGAUGAUGAGGGCACAGAAGCCGCUGAUGAGCUCCUCCGCGCCCUGGAAGCUACAGCAGCCCAUCAAGCAGGAGCCACUACCACUCCGGGCCGCACAGGACUCGGAUUACCAAACACAUGUGCUGCCAGACGCCAGGAUUCAGAAAUAAAAUCUGACAUCUGGGGCUUUUUAGCCAAUCUCUUUAAAAAACAGUUGUCGAAAACUCGCAGCCUUCAGUUUUAUGUAGGUUUUUUUAAUUACUUAAAGCUCUUCUUUUUAAUUUUUUACAGUGCUCCAGUAGGAGUUUGGAAGCCAGAUAUAAAAACUUACAUCACAGCUGAGAAAACACAGCUCUGAGUCUUUGGUUUAUGGGGUAACCAAAGUCCUCCCAUGUGUUUAGAUGCCAGGCUGGAGAACCCCACUUCAUCACCAAGAGGGGGCCAGAAGCCUGGAGUGGGAGGGGCUUGAGAAGAGCAAGCGGAGGAGUUCUAUGGGGCCACCUCAGCCACCAGGACAAGCCCACCCCACCCGCCUUCAAGUCCAACACGUGGUCUUAAUCUUAAUAUUUAAGGUCUGGAAGCAAUUUCCCAGUUUCCAGAGUGGCUGCUGGCCACUGACAGGCCACUGAUCCAAAAGAUAACCAAGUGGGGUGAAGGCUGCUGCCACAGGGACCCACAGGGGCUGCAGCCACCUGAGGAGGGGAUGAGGCAACACCUGUGUGUGGGAGAGACAUGGGGAGGGGGUUCUUGAGUCUUUAAAAGAGGCACCUCAGACUCUAUCAGAAGCAGGAAGUGAUCCACUUUCCUGGUUUUGCAAUCUAGUGCAUUGAAGGUGUCUUCCCUGAGCAGAACAGGCAGGGUGAAAUCCUUUAGAGGACAUUAUGGAGCCACCGGACCACUGUCUCCUGGGCCCUGUCUGCCUAAGUCAUGAUGAUGCUAUCAUACACUCAUGAAAACCAAGGCCUGCAACCCUGAGACCUGACCGCAGUCAGGCAACGUUCUAAGCACAUCCACAAUCCAGCAAAGCAGGAACCAUUACAGCUCCAUCGUAUACAUGAGGAAGACUCAGAGAAGUUAAGUAACUUGCCUGUGGUCCCACAGCUAGCAAGUAGGAAAGUGAGGAUUCUAACCCAGCAGAGGGAUCCCUCAGUCUGAUACUGCCUAGACUGCUGCAGAUUUGGGCAAUAAGGCACGGAAAACUUCCUCAGUCGAUCCUGGGUGGUUCCCAUUCCACUGGGAUCACCCAAGCCCACGUACUUGAGGCAAGGUUAGCCCAUGCGCCUGGGGCGGCCACAGGGGUUGCUGGGAAACUGCACACUUCUCCCUUCUGUCCCCUUAUAUUCUCCCUGUGACUUACAGCCCAACUACAGGCACCUACGAUGACGGCGUCCAGAGCUGUGGGGGUGUGGCUGUCAUCAGAGGUCACAGGGAAAAGGGCAGCUUUCUUCCCUCCUCCUGUUGGGAGGUGACCGGAAGGGUGGCCUUAAUGGGUAAUUGCCAUCCAAGUGUAUGGUGAUGCCUCCCUUUUCCACAGGAAAGGUUAGACAGCAGAUGGCAGGUGAAGGACAUUCAGACCUUGGAAGACAACUUUCAGACCUGGGGCACAAGGACCAGGGCGAAGAGCUGGACAGGACAGACCGGGCCUGGGGGAACCAGGGCCCAGAGGUAAGUACCUUGGCGGUGGCGAGCUCAUGGGCCAGCUCCUGGACCUUCUGCUGCUGCUGCCUCAGCAGCUCCUGGACAGAGGCCAGUGUCGUCUGUACCUGAGUCACUGGGGAAGAGAGUGUGGCGUCUGGUGAGUUAGUGCCCACAGACUCCCUCCUCAGUCCCCAUGCCUGUGGGCAGCCCCUAUUCCUGCUUCGGUUCAUUUAUCUGCAGGCCCUGCCCCCUCACCUCCGAUGACUCAUCUGCGCCCUGGUAGCCCACCUGCGCUGGACCUGCCCUCCGGAUUUCCACUCUGUCUCUCUACUGUGUGCUUGUCCGUGGUCAACAGCACACCGGUCCAGCCUCUCCCUCUAAGCACGCCCGGCUGCGCUGUCCUGGCUCUCCCGGCCCCGCUCACUGCCUCACGCAUCUCAUGGGCCUAGCCGUGUCCUUGGGAGCUCAGGGCGUGUCUGGCCUGGGAAGGCCGAGGCUCAGGCUUCCGCCACAUCCAGGAGGAGUGCAACUGCGGACCCUGUCUCCAGUGCGCCUUCCUAUCCUACUCCCACCCUGAGGCUGUCUGCCUAGACCCCACUGUCACAUGGCCCCUGGGACCAGUAUCACCGCGUCACCCUCCGAGGAGCAAAUGCCAGUGUGACAGAUAAGUGCUACCGACUUCUGAGGAUUUCACGAAGGUGCCCCUGAGGGACAUGGGCUGCCCGGACAGGAGGCUCCCGCCUGCCUCGGGGUUUGAGAUGCAGAGCUCCACCUGGUAAACAAGCUUAUAACGGAGCAGAGCCACCUCUGGCGCGACAGGUCCCAGCUAAUCUGGGCCAUCGCUGGGGCAGCGGGUAAUGAACGCCAGCCCUGUGGAGUCGAUAACAGAGGAGGUGGCCGGGGUCCCAGGAGCCACAGUAAUUACAGACUCUCCCGACCCUGCCUUGGACUCUUAGAGGGAAGGGGGGAAAUCACUGAAAACCCCCCUGAAAACCUCAUAGAAGCAGAAAUUAAAAAUGAACUUUACAGCCCUUAGAAAGGCUGUCAUUUUAUUCCCCUUAUUAAUAUUCUGAGGUUGGGAGCCUUUCCGUAAAAACAUAAUUAAUUGAGGCCGCGCCGACAGUAAACAAGCAAUUUCAAAUUAAA